ACAUCUCGAAAGGGAUGCUAAUACCGCAUACGUCCUACGGGAGAAAGCAGGGGAUCACUUGUGACCUUGCGCUAAUAGAUGAGCCUAAGUCGGAUUAGCUAGUUGGUGGGGUAAAGGCCUACCAAGGCGACGAUCUGUAGCGGGUCUGAGAGGAUGAUCCGCCACACUGGGACUGAGACACGGCCCAGACUCCUACGGGAGGCAGCAGUGGGGAAUAUUGGACAAUGGGGGGAACCCUGAUCCAGCCAUGCCGCGUGUGUGAAGAAGGCCUUAUGGUUGUAAAGCACUUUAAGCGAGGAGGAGGCUCUUUUGGUUAAUACCCAAGAUGAGUGGACGUUACUCGCAGAAUAAGCACCGGCUAACUCUGUGCCAGCAGCCGCGGUAAUACAGAGGGUGCAAGCGUUAAUCGGAUUUACUGGGCGUAAAGCGCGCGUAGGCGGCUAAUUAAGUCAAAUGUGAAAUCCCCGAGCUUAACUUGGGAAUUGCAUUCGAUACUGGUUGGCUAGAGUGUGGGAGAGGAUGGUAGAAUUCCAGGUGUAGCGGUGAAAUGCGUAGAGAUCUGGAGGAAUACCGAUGGCGAAGGCAGCCAUCUGGCCUAACACUGACGCUGAGGUGCGAAAGCAUGGGGAGCAAACAGGAUUAGAUACCCUGGUAGUCCAUGCCGUAAACGAUGUCUACUAGCCGUUGGGGCCUUUGAGGCUUUAGUGGCGCAGCUAACGCGAUAAGUAGACCGCCUGGGGAGUACGGCCGCAAGGUUAAAACUCAAAUGAAUUGACGGGGGCCCGCACAAGCGGUGGAGCAUGUGGUUUAAUUCGAUGCAACGCGAAGAACCUUACCUGGUCUUGACAUCCACAGAACUUAGCAGAGAUGCUUUGGUGCCUUCGGGAACUGUGAGACAGGUGCUGCAUGGCUGUCGUCAGCUCGUGUUGUGAAAUGUUGGGUUAAGUCCCGCAACGAGCGCAACCCUUAUCCUUUGUUGCCAGCGGUUAGGCCGGGAACUCAAAGGAGACUGCCAGUGAUAAACUGGAGGAAGGUGGGGAUGACGUCAAGUCAUCAUGGCCCUUACGACCAGGGCUACACACGUGCUACAAUGGCGCAUACAAAGAGAAGCGACCUCGCGAGAGCAAGCGGACCUCAUAAAGUGCGUCGUAGUCCGGAUUGGAGUCUGCAACUCGACUCCAUGAAGUCGGAAUCGCUAGUAAUCGUAGAUCAGAAUGCUACGGUGAAUACGUUCCCGGGCCUUGUACACACCGCCCGUCACACCAUGGGAGUGGGU
rnacentral:rRNA from 1 species